rnacentral:rRNA from 1 species
GAUGAACGCUGGCGGCGUGCCUAAUACAUGCAAGUCGAGCGAACAGACGAGGAGCUUGCUCCUCUGACGUUAGCGGCGGACGGGUUAGUAACACGUGGAUAACCUACCUAUAAGACUGGGAUAACUUCGGGAAACCGGAGCUAAUACCGGAUAAUAUAUUGAACCGCAUGGUUCAAUAGUGAAAGACGGUUUUGCUGUCACUUAUAGAUGGAUCCGCGCCGCAUUAGCUAGUUGGUAAGGUAACGGCUUACCAAGGCAACGAUGCGUAGCCGACCUGAGAGGGUGAUCGGCCACACUGGAACUGAGACACGGUCCAGACUCCUACGGGAGGCAGCAGUAGGGAAUCUUCCGCAAUGGGCGAAAGCCUGACGGAGCAACGCCGCGUGAGUGAUGAAGGUCUUCGGAUCGUAAAACUCUGUUAUUAGGGAAGAACAAAUGUGUAAGUAACUAUGCACGUCUUGACGGUACCCAAUCAGAAAGCCACGGCUAACUACGUG